AACGAACGCUGGCGGCAUGCCUAACACAUGCAAGUCGAACGAGAUCUUCGGGUCUAGUGGCGCACGGGUGCGUAACGCGUGGGAAUCUGCCCCUUGGUUCGGAAUAACAGUUGGAAACGACUGCUAAUACCGGAUGAUGACGAAAGUCCAAAGAUUUAUCGCCAGAGGAUGAGCCCGCGUAGGAUUAGCUAGUUGGUGUGGUAAAGGCGCACCAAGGCGACGAUCCUUAGCUGGUCUGAGAGGAUGAUCAGCCACACUGGGACUGAGACACGGCCCAGACUCCUACGGGAGGCAUCAGUGGGGAAUAUUGGACAAUGGGCGAAAGCCUGAUCCAGCAAUGCCGCGUGAGUGAUGAAGGCCUUAGGGUUGUAAAGCUCUUUUACCCGGGAUGAUAAUGACAGUACCGGGAGAAUAAGCUCCGGCUAACUCCGUGCCAGCCGCCGCAGUAAAAC
rnacentral:rRNA from 1 species